CCGCCAUCAGCUCCAGCCUCCCCACGGGGUGUGCCGCGGCCCUGGCCUCAUGGCUGGCCAGCCCGGCUCUCCCUUCACCUAGGCCGGGGGCCCUCACUCUUUCAGGCCUUGGUGCCCGGAGGACCGCCCCCCAGACCACUUUGCAUUUUCAGGGCCUCCAGAGAAUCCAUCUCCCCAGCCCUGCGAUGCCAGACCCGGUGUAGAGGGAGGGGCCNNNNNNNNNNGGGGUGGGGGAGGAGGGGAAGGGGGCUGGGGGCUUGAGAGGCAGUGUCCCUGAUGGACCCCAGAGGCUCCCUCCAGCGGGCAGGGGGCAGGACAGUACCAGGAGCCUCGUCCCCCGGCAAGUGUGCUUUUGAUUAGCUGUACGAGAAAGCCGUGGGGACUGAGUGUCCACUGGCUGCGCUUCUAGGGGCUGCUGGAAGGAAUGCUGUACGCAGGCGUGGAAGAGGCCCUGCUUCUGCCGUGAGAACACGUGCAAGUCUUGACCGGGAUUUGCAGCCCACGGGCGGGAGCCAGGCUUAGAUUCCUCUAGGAAAACAUCUGAGAUUCUACUGGAAAACAGCGAGGAAACCAUUCUAUGUCCCCACCAGGCAGCCUCAAGCUGGAAAGAUCUCAGGCCUGCCUGCGUCUAUACAGACAGACCACAGACUUUCUCAAGUGCAGCGUAGACGGGGCUGAGAAGCAGGACCUCUGGGCAGACACUGGAGACACCAGUAGUUUUCAAAUGGUGUUUUCAGGAGCCCCAGGGGGUCCACUGGGGUGGAAGAGGCUGCCCCAGAGGGGUGAGGGGGGCCGCUCCCGCUGGGCGUCGACGAGAGCAUCCCACUUUAGUCCGUUUCACCUUCUGGGCUUCCUCAGGACUUCCUGUGAUAGACGCCAAGGAAACUCAGAAACGUGCUGGCCCAGAACGACUGCCCGCUCUCGCGAGGUCCUGGCAGAAACGGAGAAGCAAGACAGCCUCGGUGGCCAAGUGCCAGCUGGGUACCGCAGUGCCGGCUUCCACUACUUCACUAGGAAAGAAUGCAGAACCCACCAGAAGGAGCUCACGUUGCACUUUUCCCAGUCAACCAAACCUCUUCCCGGGCCUUGGGGAAUAUGACGGGUGGGGUUCCACCAUUCGGCCUGCAACCUGAGAAGGUGCAGAGACUGCCCGGCUUCAGAUCCACCACCUGGAGGAGGGUCCCCACAGGUCAAAGCACGGGGGCUCCCCACCUGAGAAGCUUCCGGAGCCACAAGGGGCUGUGGACUGUGCCAGUCGAGGGUCUGGAGCCUGUAAUUGGGCCAAACCACCCAGGCACUGGUUCAUCAGAAUGAAUCUCAACCCACUGAAGCACGAGGGUCUGGCUUGCCGCUGGCUGAGGCCACAGACGCGGCUCCGUGUCUUCAGGGAGCCCUCACGCUCUGGGAGGCGCACACGCUCGCUUCCUUGCCACACAAAGUUCAAAUUGAGGAGGGAAAGAUGAGUUUCAGAUGCUAAGAAAAAAAGUCCUUAGGGACUUUUCGAGGAAACGAAUCAGCCCGCUCUCGGGCCUCCGCGGGAGAGAAGCCUCCGCUCUCUGCCCCGUCUCUGAUGGACGUGGCUGCCGUGUCGUUGGUAUUCCAAACGUGGCCUGUAAUUUCCUGCGACCUGGAAAUCCAGAUGUUCCCCGGUUUAGACUUCACUGCUCAGAACAAUGGAUUUUAGUAAAAUGCCCCCUGGAACUUCUCUGGAACUCUCUUUUUAAUGGGAUGAGCGUGACGGAAAAAUGCAGAAAUUGCCAAAGUGUGCCUUAAUGAAUGAUCACGGGGUGGUGCCAGGUAUGACACCCAGGUGGUGGCCGCUAUGGAGCCAACCUUCUCACUAGGAGCUCGGAGCCCCUCCUACCUAUGUCCCCUCACCCAACCCCAGAGCCUCUAAGGCCUCCUUAAGGAAGAUCCAUCUGUGUGGCUGGGGACACUCCUGUUUCCUUUGCUGUGUAACCUCAUUGAGGCCUUUAUUUAGAAGGAAAGAAAGUUAGCUUGUUGCUUGAAGGGGAAGCCUUCCCCGGGGUGGCGGGGAGGAGCUCUGGGAGGGAGGACCAGCCUGGGGCGGCCCCCUGGGGGAUCAGUGACCCCUCUGGCUCUCCCGCCCAUCCUCCACCGAUGGCACCCAAGUGUGACUCAGGCCGCUGGUAUUUGCAGGCUGCCUCCAGCGAGCUGGAGAAGGAAUCCCAGCUAUUAAAGGCUGUGCUAAUUACAAGCAAGCGCCUCCCAGCAGAUGGUCCAGCGUGGGUAAUCCUCUCCUUUCCCUGCCCCUACAUCCUACAUUUUUUGAUGAUAGGAGGCAGAGAACUGGUCUAGGAUUCAAAAGAUGAGCUGUCCUCCAGUUUCAAAUGCCCUCCCUUCCUCUGGAGCAUGGACGCCCCACCCAAGCCCCGUCCUCUGCAGAGAGAGUGCCCAAGAGCUGCUCGGCCUUGGCGUCCACCCUGCCCAGGGGCAGUGAAAUGGGAUGGUGUUACUCACUUGUCAUGUCUGACUCUUGUGACCCCAUGGACUGCAGCCCACCAGGCUCCUCUGUCCAUGGGGUUCUCCAGGCAAGAAGACUGGACUGGGUUGCAGUGCCCUCCUCCAGGGGCUCUUCCUGACUCAGGGAUCAAACCCCGGUCUCCCGAACUGCAGGCGGAUUCAUCACCAUCUGAGCCACCAGGGCCUGGUCACUAAGUCAGUGGACAGAAUCAGCGGCUUUCCUAUGAAGAGACAAAGCCCUCGGAGCAAGCAAAGGAGGGGACGCCCUGGGGCCCAGUGGGCAAGAUCCCACCUCUCGGUGCAGGGGACCCAGAUUCGCUCUCUGCUCAGGGAGCUAAGAUUACAUGCGCCUCGCAGCCCAAAAAGCAAAAGGAGCGUAAAACAGACGCAGUCUUGUAACAAAUUCUUCAAUAAAGGCUUCAAACGUGCUCCAAAUCGAGAAAUCUUUAAAAAAAAUUAACAAAUAAAAAAAACAAUGCCAGCUUACAAAAUACUAAAACUUUCCAAACUAACUAAGCCUAUGAAACCAAAAAUGUGUGGGAUCCAUAGGAAGAAAGCAUUAAACCUAAGUUCUAUAAAAUCAGAUGAAAAAGGAGAGAGACCUCUUCGUGCAUGGGAGACAUACUGAAUAUAAGGAUGUCAUCUCCUCCUGAAAUUAUCUAUUCGUGGGAACCUAAUCCUCAUUACAAUACCAUGGGGGUACUGCAAGGAAUUUAAGAAACUUCUUUUUGUUAGUUUAAAUAAGACAAUGACUCCAUGAGGACAGACCAGAACUUUCUGCUUUGACACUUAAGUCGCCGAAGCAGCCCUCCCCAACUUUAAAGCCUGCACGUUUGAAACAGCUGAGAGCUGGAGGCCUCAGGCCACCAGAGGAAGUGAGCAAAUCCAGAAAUAGCCCAGGAAGACACGUGGGAUCACAGAAGACGAUAAAUUGGAGGGAGGAGAUGGGAUGCCCUGUAAAUUAUGGUCGAGCAAAUGACUAGUCAUUUGGAGGGAAAAAGCUUAAGGAAGACCUGAAUUCCUACUCUCCCCUUCCACCAAAACAAAUUCCACAAGGACAGAGUUUUAAACAUGAAAAAUGAAAUGGUAAAAAGUCAGGAAACAAGCCACAUAUGGAUUUGUAAUACAGUCCUGGCGUGGAAAAGACCAUUCUGGACCAUACUGCCCCCAAAAUAUGGAUUGAUUUGCAUACAUAAAAUGUGAAGCUUCUGCAGAGCAGACGCGUGUACACCCAUGCACAUACAUGCCUGUGUGUCGCACAGACACUGUCACGCACAGAGGAAGGCGUGUGUGUUGCACGGACACUGUCGCGCACAGAGGAAGGAGUGUGUGUCGCACAGACACUGUCGCGCACAGAGGAAGGCGUGUGUACCCGUGUGUAUGUAGACGUACACACAUACGGACGUAACUGUCUCACGUACAUACCCAAAUUCACAGAUAACCCAGCAAAAACACAAAAACUGGCUACAGGAUAGACCAAGGUUCGAUUCCUUCAUAAACCAAGAGCUUACGCAGUCAGUUCAGUUCCGUUCAUUCUCUCAGCCGCAUCCAACUCUGUGACCCUACAGACUGCAGCACGCCAGGCCUUCCUGUCCAUCACCAACUCCCGGAGCUUACUCAAACUCAUGUCCGUUGAGUCAAUGACGCCAUCCAGUCAUUUCAUCCUCUGUUUCCCCCUUCUCCUCCCUCCUUCAAUCUUUCCCAGCAUCAGGGUCUUUUCCAAUGAGUCGGUUCUUCCCAUCAGGUGGCAGAUGUAUUGGAGUUUCAUCUUCAGCAUCAGUCCUUCCAAUGAAUAUUCUGGACUUAUCUCCUUUAGGAUGGACUGGUUGGAUCUCCUUGCAGUCCAAGGGACUCUCAAGAGUCUUCUCCAACCCCACAGUUCAAAAGCAUCAAUU
rnacentral:lncRNA from 1 species